AUUCCCUGCAUUCAUGAAGCUAUUUCAUGUGAGUGAUUGGAGCUGGCAGGAAAGAGGAGCCCAGUUCCUCUGCCCUGGGACCUGUGUACAGGGGCUUUGACCUGCCCUUCCUCAACCCUUUAGUGGCUGAAUUGGAGCAAGACAAGUCUAAUUGCUAAUAAGCAAUUGCUUUUAUACUGUUCUUGGAAAUUAUCUUUACUGAUGGUGACGAUGAUUUUUUUUUUGCCUUCUUGCUUUUGUGCUGCUUUCCUGCUGUGCUUUUGCUAGUUGCCUAUGUCUCAUCUCACUGCAGCCAGGGGAUUUGCCAUAUCUUAUCUGGUGCCUCAUUAUUUACCUGCUGUACUGCACAAUUCAUUUAAGUGAAAUUGUUUUUAACCGUUAUUGUGGAAGGCUGUGGCUCUUUGGAGCAGAUUCCUCUUGUGAAUGGCCCUGAGGGGAUUGGGAAGAGGCUGGUGGGGGGCUGUGUUGUGGGGUACAGGAGCACCAGGCAGGGAAAACAGUGUGGGUUACCCUUGCUGCUUCGCCUGCCCAGUGAGAAAUGGGCUAGUGCCAGCUGGAAUUCUGUGCCUCUCCUGCAGCUCUGUGAAAAUCAAGCCCCAAAGCCUGACCUUCACCAUCAGUGGGAGGGGGCACGAGCCGCAGGUGACAGUGGUGUGCCCAAGAGCUCGCAGCAAGAGAGGAAAUGCCGUGCUGCGGUGCCCAAGAGCUCGCAGCAAGAGAGGAAAUGCCGUGCUGCGCUUCCAGAGGCUCCAGCUGGGGGAUUUAGAGAUGCGCCCCCUGGUCGUCCGUAACAACGGCAUCGUACCUGUCAAGUUUAUGUUACACCUGGAGGAUGAGCAUGGAGUGUUCUUCUUGAAAGGCAGGCGCUCCACACUGGAGAGAUUCCAGACUGAAGAUGUGGGAGAGGACUCUGAUGAAAACGGUAAAUUCAUUAACCAUGAAGUGCGAUUGUGCACAGAGGGAAAACGUGUGCCCUGCUCUUGGCUUCUCUGAGCUGCAGACAGAUGUUAAAGACACUUUCUCUCCUUGGGCUCUCUGUCCCCCAAGCUUUUCUUGGGGAUUUUUUGCAGGGUUUCCUCCUAGCAAGUUGUAGGAAGUUCUUCUGUUCUUCUAGACAUGAUGCUGUCGGGAACAUUAACCCUGGUGUCCACAGACACCAGAGGUUUAUGUCCAAAAAGGAGACAGAGGAGUCCUUGUACUCUAUUUGAAUAAAGGGAGCAGCCAUGGGGCA
rnacentral:lncRNA from 1 species